GGUGAAACGGAAGUAUAAGUACAUUGACAACUGCGGAGAUUGCAGUGCUGUUAAGUGCUGAUUGACAACUGCAGACUUCGGAUUGAACAUACUUUGGGUUUCACUGGUUCGCUGCACGAACAGCGCAGCGGUAAUCAGUCUGGUAUUUUAUAGGCUACACUUACUGGGCCUCAGAUAAUUAAAACUAUCUGGACUCCCGAAGAGGACGUUGUUCCAACAGACUCGUAUAGAGUUAGACGAGAACAGAUAACAGGAUUCUUGGUGAAUAGGGUGUUGAACGUUUUCCUGACUUUAAUAGAUCAGAAAUGUUGAAGAAAAAAUAGCUUCAACGAUGGAUCGGGACAGAGCUAGUCCGUCCCCCUCCACCCUGCCGGAGUCCCCUGGUCACAACUCUCCUGGUAGCACCUUACUGCUGGGUCUCAAGAGGGUUUUGUGCGGCUGGUCGACUGCAGGAAAACAACAGGGCAGAG
ensembl:lncRNA